CGCGGGGUGGAGCAGUUGGUAGCUCGCGAGGCUCAUAACCUCGAGGUCGCAGGUUCGAGUCCUGUCCCCGCUA
rnacentral:tRNA from 1 species